UACGAAGGGGGCUAGCGUUGCUCGGAAUUACUGGGCGUAAAGCGCACGUAGGCGGCUUUCUAAGUCGGGGGUGAAAUCCUGGAGCUCAACUCCAGAACUGCCUUCGAUACUGGAAAGCUCGAGUCCGGGAGAGGUGAGUGGAACUGCGAGUGUAGAGGUGAAAUUCGUAGAUAUUCGCAAGAACACCAGUGGCGAAGGCGGCUCACUGGCCCGGUACCGACGCUGAGGUGCGAAAGCGUGGGGAGCAAACAGG
rnacentral:rRNA from 1 species